rnacentral:rRNA from 1 species
GGGAAGAGCUCAAAUUUAUAAUCUGGCACCUUCGGUGUCCGAGUUGUAAUCUCUAGAAGUGUUUUCCGCGUUGGACCGCACACAAGUCUGUUGGAAUACAGCGGCACAGUGGUGAUACCCCCGUACACGGUGCGGACGCCCAGCGCUUUGUGAUACACUUUCAAUGAGUCGAGUUGUUUGGGAAUGCAGCUCAAAUUGGGUGGUAAAUUCCAUCUAAAGCUAAAUAUUGGCGAGAGACCGAUAGCGAACAAGUACCGUGAGGGAAAGAUGAAAAGCACUUUGGAAAGAGAGUUAACAGUACGUGAAAUUGUUGGAAGGGAAACGCUUGAAGUCAGACUUGCUUGCCGGAGCUUGCUUCGGUUUGCAGGCCAGCAUCAGUUUUCCGGGGUGGAUAAUGGUGGUUUGAAGGUAGCAGCCUCGGCUGUGUUAUAGCUUUCCACUGGAUACAUCCUGGGGGACUGAGGAACGCAGCGUGCUUUUUGCGAAGGUUUCGACCUUUUCACGCUUAGGAUGCUGGUGUAAUGACUUUAAACGACCCGUCUU